CCUACGGGAGGCAGCAGUGAGGAAUAUUGGUCAAUGGACGCAAGUCUGAACCAGCCAUGCCGCGUGCAGGAUGACGGCGCGAUGAGGUGUAAACUGCGGUUGUACGAGGGUAAACCCCGAUACGUGUAUCGGGUUGAAAGUAUCGUACGAAUAAGGAUCGGCUAACUCCGUGCCAGCAGCCGCGGUAAUACGGAGGACCCGAGCGUUAUCCGGAUUUAUUGGGUUUAAAGGGUGCGUAGGCGGUUUGCUAAGUUAGAGGUGAAAUGUCGGGGCUCAACCCCGAAACUGCCUGUAAUACUGUUGGCCUAGAGCAUAGUUGCGGUAGGCGGAAUGUUUGGUGUAGCGGUGAAAUGCUU
rnacentral:rRNA from 1 species